rnacentral:rRNA from 1 species
GAUGAACGCUAGCUACAGGCUUAACACAUGCAAGUCGAGGGGAAACGGCAUUGAGUGCUUGCACUCUUUGGACGUCGACCGGCGCACGGGUGAGUAACGCGUAUCCAACCUUCCCAUUACUGUGGGAUAACCUGCCGAAAGGCAGACUAAUACCGCAUAGUCUUCGAUGACGGCAUCAGAUUUGAAGUAAAGAUUUAUCGGUAAUGGAUGGGGAUGCGUCUGAUUAGCUUGUUGGCGGGGUAACGGCCCACCAAGGCGACGAUCAGUAGGGGUUCUGAGAGGAAGCUCCCCUACAUUUGAACUGAGACACGGUCCAAACUGCUACGGGAGGCAGCAGUGAGGAAUAUUGGUCACUGGACGGAAGUCUGAACCAGCCAAGUAGCGUGCAGGAUGCCGGCCCUCUGGGUUGUAAACUGCUUUUGUAUGGGGAUAAAGUUAGGGACGUGUCCCUAUUUGCAGGUACCAUACGAAUAAGGACCGGCUAAUUCCGUG